rnacentral:misc_RNA from 1 species
AACAUCGCGCACCUGCGGGAACCUGCGGAAGGAUCAUUACAGAGUUGCAAAACUCCCUAAACCAUUGUGAACGUUACCUAAACCGUUGCUUCGGCGGGCGGCCCGGGUCCUUCCCGGCGCCCAUCGGCCCUCGCGGGCGCCCGCCGGAGGUAAACCAAACUAUUGCAUUGUAUGGCCUCUCUGAGUCUUCUGCACUGAAUAAGUCAAAACUUUUAGCAACGGAUCUCAGAUCGGAAGAGC